rnacentral:sRNA from 1 species
UAAUUAUUUUCGCUUAAUUCCGAUUGGAAGCGGGGGAACCGAACGCGGAUCAGUCCGCAGGGGUGAAUCCGGCAAGCCGAUUGCGGCUUCCUGGUAGGGCGACUCUCUGGCCCGAAUCCGUCAGCUAACCCCGUCAGCGAACAAAGGAGAGAUA